rnacentral:rRNA from 1 species
GACGAACGCUGGCGGCGUGCCUAAUACAUGCAAGUAGAACGCAGUUGCUAACGGGUGAGUAACGCGUAGGUAACUGCCUCAUAGCGGGGGAUAACUAUUGGAAACGAUAGCUAAUACCGCAUACUGUGAGAUGGACCUGCGUUGUAUUAGCUAGUUGGUGAGGUAAAGGCUCACAAAGGCGACGAUACAUAGCCGACCUGAGAGGGUGAGCGGGCAGACUGGGACUGAGACACGGCCCAGACUCCUACGGGGGGCAGCAGUGGGGGAUCUGCGGCAAUGGACGGAAGUCUGACCGAGCAACGCCGCGGGAGUGAAGAAGGUUUUCGGAGCGUAAAGCUGUGUUAUUAGAGAAGCGGUAAGUAGCAAGAAAGGGACGGCUAACUACGUGCCAGCAGCCGCGGUAAUAC